UACGGGGGGUGCGAGCGUUGUCCGGAAUCACUGGGCGUAAAGGGCGCGUAGGCGGCAGGCCAAGCGUGCGGUGAAAGUCCGGGGCUCAACCCCGGAUCGGCCGUGCGGACUGGUUUGCUAGAGCACUGUAGAGGCGAGUGGAAUUCCGGGUGUAGCGGUGGAAUGCGUAGAGAUCCGGAAGAACACCGGUGGCGAAGGCGGCUCACUGGCCCGUAACUGACGCUCAGGCGCGAUAGCGUGGGGAUCAAACAGG
rnacentral:rRNA from 1 species